AUGAAUUACGGAAAUGCAGCGAAUCUUGUACACGGUUGAAGCUUUGACGUCACUAUUCUCGUAACUGUAAUUUAUUUACCAGUGGUAUCGAUGUAAGCUACUUCACAUGUCAGAACACACCACAUAGCUACCAAAUGCGUAUUCAUUUUCCAUUUUUACAUGAAUGUAUGUAUGUAGGGGGGAAAAUAGAACCUUUAAUGGACUGAAAGGAGGUUGGCUGAACAAACAAACAAAAAAAUACGGGCAUGAAUUAAUCAAAUAUAAUCGACUGCAGAGAAAUGAACUGCGGUUCUGUAGCGCUGUUUAUGAUCUGCGUGGUGUCAUUUCUGCGGAGGGAAGCUUAAGCCCUUCGACUAAGCUUUGCAGGAAAAUGCUGAAAAAAUGGAAAGUCGGCUACGGACACCAGAGGGACCCCAGGUGGCCUUCGCACUUAUUAACCAGAGAUCCACGCGCGCGUGGCACAGCCUGCGGGGGGACUUGUGAGCGUUGGGCCCCCUGCAGGAGCCGCGGGGUGCGAGCGUAGCCGCGCGAUACACCCGCCGCUGCCGCCACUGAACCCGCCCGGGCGUCCCCCUUCCUUCCACGGGCGAACGGGGAAGCGUUACAUCAGCCGUGGCCCCCGGCGACGGUGCCAACUGGAGUUGGGGUGAGGCAUUGUGGCGAGGGUGAAAGGAAGGAAGGAGGAUUCGGGGGGAGCCGGGGGGAGCCGCGGGUAGCCGGGGGGGGGGGGGAAUAACAGCGGGAUACACAGCAGCGCUCCCUGGGUCCCGGAGGAAUCGUGGCACCGCCGGCAGCCAUCUUUGGGGUUAUGUCACGGCCGGCUCUUCUCCCCCCCCGGCAGAACCAGGUGGGACGGGGACACUUGAACCCGGGUCGUCGUCACGGUUACAGUGUAACUAAAGCUACCAGAGGCCCCCGGGACCGAAAGGUUUGACCUUGGAGUGUCGCUCGCCCUGUCCAGCCUGUAGGACCUCUGUAGCGCACCCCCCCUCCCCCCCUCCAACCCCCGAAAGAAAAGCACGAAUAAAUAACAAAUCCCCUGGACCCCCCCUCCAAAAACCAGAGUUUAUCAGUGUCUCACAUUGUAAAAAAAUAGAUGCCCUUCCCAGGCAGGGAGGAGCAAAAUAUGUAACUUUGGCUGCUAUGAUGGCUUAGAACAAGAAAUAUUUUGUGGAGAGUUAGCCAUUGUCGACACUCAGAGGUAACUAAAUUUUUUACAUCUUUCCAUGCCCUCCCCCCCCCCCCCCGUGGCUCAGACGGGAAGUGACGGAGGCUCUGGGGGUGAAGUGGUGAGAGAGGUGGCAAGAGGGGUGCAGAAAGAGACAAAACAAGCUCUCCCCGGCAACGUCCAGGGAAAAGCUUCUGUCCUUGGCAACGUCCAGGAUGUGGCUGCCAGUUCUGUCUAUGUGAUUAUUUUCACCAGAAGAAUGUUGGGGUAGAUUUUGGACUGCUGCAGAGCCAGUUUGAAUGCUUGUCUGACCCAACUGAAGCCCACUCUCCCUCCCUCUCUCCCCCCUUCAACUGGAGAGAGGCUCAGCAAACAAACUGAACCCAGUGUAACUCUGUGUUUAAUCACAUGCUAGCUUAGCGGCUAAAUUAGCCUCACUGUGCUAGGUUGGAAUGUUUUUGCUUUAUUCUGUGCAAAUUUGUGAAUCUAAAAAUUAAAAUUUCUCCUUUAAAUAAAUAAA